rnacentral:rRNA from 1 species
UACGUAGGGUGCAAGCGUUAAUUGGAAUUACUGGGCGUAAAGCGUGCGCAGGCGGUUAUGUAAGACAGAUGUGAAAUGCCCGGGCUUAACCUGGGAACUGCAUUUGUGACUGCAUGGCUAGAGUUUGGCAGAGGGGGGUAGAAUUCCACGUGUAGCAGUGAAAUGCGUAGAUAUGUGGAGGAACACCGAUGGCGAAGGCAGCCCCCUGGGUCAAGACUGACGCUCAUGCACGAAAGCGUGGGGAGCAAACAGG